UGCCCCGUGGUGUAAAGGUAGCACAGCAGAUUUUGGAUCUGCUUGUCUAGGUUCGAAUCCUAGCGGGGCAA
rnacentral:tRNA from 1 species